UCCCUUCGGGGGCGGAUCAGUGGCGAACGGGUGAGUAACACGUGGGCAAUCUGCCCCUCACUGUGGGAUAACUCCGGGAAACCGGGGCUAAUACCGCAUAUGAAGCCUGGCGGCAUCGCCGGGUUUGGAAAGUUUUUCGGUGAGGGAUGAGCCCGCGGCCUAUCAGCUUGUUGGUGAGGUAAUGGCUCACCAAGGCGACGACGGGUAGCCGGCCUGAGAGGGCGACCGGCCACACUGGGACUGAGACACGGCCCAGACUCCUACGGGAGGCAGCAGUGGGGAAUAUUGGGCAAUGGGCGAAAGCCUGACCCAGCGACGCCGCGUGCGGGAUGAAGGCCUUCGGGUUGUAAACCGCUUUCAGCAGGGAAGAAGCGAAAGUGACGGUACCUGCAGAAGAAGCACCGGCUAACUACGUGCCAGCAGCCGCGGUAAUACGUAGGGCGCGAGCGUUAAUCGGAAUUACUGGGCGUAAAGCGUGCGCAGGCGGAUUGUUAAGCAAGACGUGAAAUCCCCGGGCUUAACCUGNGAAUGGCGUUUUGAACUGGCAGUCUAGAGUGCGUCANAGGGGGGUGGAAUUCCACGUGUAGCAGU
rnacentral:rRNA from 1 species